AAGACUCCGUGAACUGGACAUUGUUGCCACUGCCUUCUCCGGAAACCUGAGAACACAAGGAAUAAAGCAAAGGUGGUUCUCCAUUUAUAAAGCAGAAGGAAUUCCUUGCCUCCUUCCCUUCCCCCCUUCCUUCAUCCCCUUAACACGGUAGAGGUAAGUCCAGGCUUUCUCUCCAAGAGGAACACGCAGGGGGUUAGCAAGGCAGGUUGAUUCUGCUGUUACCUGUGUAUAGGUUGAAGUUGUGGCCAUGUUAGAUAUUAGUUAGUCUGCUACCUAACUCAUAAGAUGCAUGCUCCCAUAUAAGAAACAUGCAAUUCCUGAAAUCUUUUAAGAACGCACUAUUUUGCCAUGGGACAGGCUCUCAGCAUUUUUUAAAAAUAACCUGCUAUCAACAUGCCUAUGUUUAGGGUGAAGCGCCAUCGAGAGCAGGUAAUUAUUAUUUUUUUAAGUUACUGGAAGGUCACCCCUAUUUGCAAAGCAUUCCCCCCCUGGAAUUUACAACCUUGCUUUGUUUGAUCACAGUUAAAUCUAUAAAGGUAGGCUCUGUAACAGCAGCUGCUCCAACUUAACGGCAGAUGCUUUGAACUCCAGAAGUCUAGAGCCUGGACAGAGAGUUCACCUAAAAAGGAAUUCAAAGGCAGCUCAAAGCUCUUCCACAAACAGAGGGGUUCUCCAUAAAAUGAACGAAAUCCCCCCCCCAAGGGGGUGGUAGAGUUUCACAGUCCCUCCACUCCUUGUCAGGUUUUGACUCAGGCGAAAUCCAAAGGCAGUUUCAAGGUUACCUGCUCAGGUGAAACACCCAAAACUAUGUUGAGGAAAGCCAUCUGAGCCACAAAGAAAGCUAGUGAAAUUUCUCAGAUGAGAUCUUGCAUGUUACAAGAACCCCCCACCCUCUGGUUUUAAAUAUUGGGACGAGGUCCCUCUGGGGUCACUAUUAAUCUGUGUAUUUACACUAAAAAUUAUUUAACUAUUUAUAAUAUUCCAUUUUUGACACACAGUGCUUAGGACACUCCCAGGGCAGCUAAGAAACAUUUUUAAAAAGCAGCAGCAGAAACAGGAAUAUGAAAUGGCAUUAAAGUCUCAGGAGCAGACAUGAGGCAGCAUCACGAGCCAUUGUCAGUAGAAAUUGAGAAAAGCUUAAGUUCUUCCCUGCAUGAGGAAGGAUAUGACAUGAAAUGACAGGCUGCCCGCAGGAUCAUCUAAACGGCUGCCUUGCUUGUGUUCUAAAACCUCCUGCUUAGAUAAGAAAACAACCGUUGUUUUCUUACAGCACAGCUAGAAAACUAAACAACAUUCACAGAUUUUUAUGUCAUCAGAAGAGUUAUCUUCACUAGGGUCAUUUCAGUGCUGAAGGGAUUGAUUCUCUCUCUCUCUCUCUUAGACAUAUACACUUUCCAGAUUGCCCAGUUUCUCAGACAAAGGGCAAAUAUCUUUUCCAAGGAAUAGCAACAGGUGGGUACUAGAGUUAAUCUGUGAAAGUGGAAAACAACCCUCCAGUGAUGUGAACCCGGAAGCAGUAUUUGGCUGGCUUUUUCUUUAUGCAAAUCACUAAAGCAACAUAAGCCAGGGGAGCUCUUUGCACAUACUGCAAUGUGCUGUUUGUGAAUUCUUGAUCACUCCUCCUCUCAGCAGUUAACACUUUCCCACCUUCCUGCAAUAGCAAGGGUGUGGAACCUGGGCUCAGCUAGUGCAGUCAUUGAUCAGGGAUGAUGGGAUCUGUAGUCCAAUAAGCUCUGGGAGGUCCUCAGCUUCCCCAUUCCUGAGCUAUGGGAUGCUCUGUGUUACGGUCAUCAACAAUUGAGCCUGAUUAGAUGUAGCUUAACUCUUAAAGAGAUAACGGGCUGCACCCAAGUAAGUUUCUCUCAUCAUAUUAACAGACCUGUUACCAACGUCCAUUAAUUUCAAUGGGUGACAAAUGUUGGAAACUCACGCACUCUUGCUUUGUAAAUUUAACAAAUGAUAACACCGGAAACUACAUUAUAUAAGGUCAAACUAUCUACCCCACUAUUGCCCACUCAGACUGGCAGCUCCUCUCCAGUCUCAGACACAAACCUUUUCACAUCAGCUGCUCCCUGAUUCUUUCGGACAGUGAUGCCAGGGAUUGCAACACUGAGCUAUGGCCUCCCCACAAGUUUUUUUUAAAAGAGACCAUGGUUUAAAUUGCAAAAUGGAUGGGUGUAACCUGGGAUCUUGCAUUGGCCUAAAAUCCAGAGGGGAGGCAUCAGAGGGUGACAGAAACUCCCAGGUCUCUGCGUCAUAACCCUCCCUGAUGCUUUGGAGCAGCAACUCCCGCAAAAAUUCGAGCACAGUCCCGAAAAUGUCCACCUCCAUGGGUUACGCAUUGCAAAAGCUGACUUGUGGUGCUGCGUGGCUAGGCCGCAUCCAGACUGCUGUGUUGGGAGUAGCCCUCGGCACUAGCAUGCACCCCCUUCUGCCUCUUUAUUCUGGACCAAAAACUUCCAAUUUCUGCAACCCACCCACAGAAAGGGAAGGUCCUCUGGUCGAGAUGUUAGAGCCCAAGUUUUGCAUGCAGAUGUUUUGAGCCUGUUCAAUCCCUGCCAUCUCCAGAUACAGCUGUGAACCUGGAGGAGGACCACUGCCAUUUAUUGUAGACAGUGCUGAGUUAGAU